AACGUAGGUGGCAAGCGUUAUCCGGAUUUACUGGGCGUAAAGCGUGCGCAGGCGGUUUUGUAAGUCUGACGUGAAAUCCCCGGGCUCAACCUGGGAAUUGCGUUGGAGACUGCAAGGCUGGAGUCUGGCAGAGGGGGGUAGAAUUCCACGUGUAGCAGUGAAAUGCGUAGAGAUGUGGAGGAACACCGAUGGCGAAGGCAGCCCCCUGGGUCAAGACUGACGCUCAUGCACGAAAGCGUGGGGAGCAAACAGG
rnacentral:rRNA from 1 species